rnacentral:misc_RNA from 1 species
GAUUUCUUUGAAAGCUUCGGCAGCCAAUGGAAUUUUACAUAUGUCUUCAGUUCGGCGCAGCUUGACUGUUUUCUUUUUACCGGAGUUUCCAGCGCCGCAUAAAGAACGUAAAGCCAAUUUGCCACCGAGAAAACUUGAACGAGUUCCCGUGCGAAAUUCAGUGCUUCCUUCGUCGAGCAGUACGGGGUGCAUCUAGCUUUUCUUCUGAAGUGUCGAAGUGCGCAUGUCAACAGUACGCCAUUUUUGAUCUGUGUUGGGGUCGGAAGGGCGUCUAUCGCGGCGAAUAAACUGGACAAGAAGCCGUCACUUUGGAAAGAAAAACGACACCAAGCAAUUUUCUACUUACUUCCACUUGAAAAAUAUGCUGAGAGAUGUAGAGGUGGCAGGAGUGCCAUGGGUAGGACGGGCUGCGAGCGCCGACCUGUAGGGGGCCCCCCUGGGGGACUGCAGCCCCGGUAGUGGGCACUGCCAGCCCCCCACCCUUCUUCCACCUCCUGCUCGGAGGAAGGACCCAGCAGCAUGCCGUCCUUCUCGCGCCUCGGGAACCUCAAGGACCCCGAGCUCGCCGAGCUGUUCGACAAGGAUGACCCCGACAAGAUCUUUGUGGACCUCCGCGAGAUCGGCCACGGCAGUUUCGGAGCAGUCUAUUAUGCCCGGAACGUCACGACCAAAGAAGUCGUGGCCAUCAAAAAGAUGUCAUUUACAGGAAAACAGUCAACAGAGAAAUGGCAAGACAUUGUCAAAGAAGUGAGGUUCCUGCGCCAGUUAAAGCACAAGAACACAAUAGACUACAAGGGCUGUUAUUUAAAAGAGCACACCGCCUGGCUUGUUAUGGAGUACUGUCUCGGAUCCGCAUCAGAUAUCAUUGAAGUUCACAAAAAGCCUCUUCGGGAGGAGGAGAUCUCUGCAAUAUGCAAGGAUGCCUUGCAAGGUCUGGAGUACCUGCAUUCACUGGGCCGCAUACAUAGAGACGUCAAGGCUGGCAACAUCCUGCUCACUGAAAACGGCACAGUCAAGCUUGCGGACUUUGGCUCGGCGUCCAUGAUCAGCCCGGCCAACUCGUUUGUGGGCACGCCGUACUGGAUGGCGCCCGAGGUUAUCUUGGCCAUGGACGAAGGCCAGUAUGACGGGAAAGUGGACGUCUGGUCCCUGGGGAUCACGUGCAUUGAACUGGGUGAGAGGAAGCCUCCCUAUUUCAACAUGAAUGCCAUGAGUGCCUUGUACCAUAUCGCCCAGAAUGACUCGCCCACACUCACUGGAGGGGAAUGGUCGGACGUCUUCAGGCAUUUUGUAAAUUCCUGCCUGCAGAAGAACCCUGCAGAUAGGCCCACAGCAGUCAACUUAUUACAGCAUCCGUUCAUGACACGGCCGCGCUCUGGCAAGGUAAUAGUAGACCUAAUUCAACGGACAAAGGCAGCAGUUCGGGAACUGGACAACCUCAACUACCGCAAGAUGAAGAAAAUUCUCAUGAUCGACUCGCAAGAGAACAACGAGGCCAAUGCAGUGGAGGCCGAGGAUGACUCGACGGAGGACGAUCAAGUGAGCACGGGUGGCAACGGGGGCGGCAGUGCGGGCAACGGCGGAGGCGAGGGCAGCAAGAGCAGCAGCCUGCGCUCCAACCAGAGCCAGCAGAGCAGCAGCAAUGUGAGCGCGGGCAGCCACAGCAGCAGCACCAGCAGCCUGCCCCCGGCCUCCGAGAUGGACUCGUACCCACCCUCCUCCUUCCGACAUCCGCGGGACAGCAAUUCAUCGUCGACCAGCUUGAAUAGUACAGACGCAGGGGCCACCAACAACUUCGCAACGAUACGGACAACAUCUAUAGUGACACGCCAGAUGAAGGAGCAUGAGCAGGAGAACCAGAUGCACGAACAAAUGUCGGGCUACAAGAGAAUGCGGCGCCAACACCAGAAGGCACUAGAGCAGAUGGAAGCAAAAUGUAUACAAGAAAUGGAUGAUCACAAGCAGAAGCUAGACAAAGAAUAUGAAACUUUGUUACAACAGUUUAGUAAAGAACUAGAAAAAUUACAAAUGAAGCAUCAACAGGAUCUGGAGAAAAAGCUGAAGCACAACCUUGCUGGGGAGAAGCGGCUGACGCGCACCAUAGCACAGCAGCAGGAGGAAGAGACCAAGCGGUUCCAGCAGCAGCAGAAGGUCGAGUACAAGUACCUCAAGGAGAAGAUCAAGAAGGAGCUGAGCGACGACAGCAGUGGUGGCGGUGGGGAUGCCGCCCUGCGGGGCCACAAGGCGCAGCUGCAGCAGCGGCAGGCGGAGGCCCUGGCCCGGCUGCAGCGGCACCAGGCCGACUACCUGCGGCUGGAGGUGCGCAAGUACCGGCGCCGGCGCCUGCUGCAGUACCACCGGCUCGAGCAGGAACUGCUCCGCGAGGAGCUUGCCAAGCGGCAGAGCCAGCUGGAGGAAGCUCACUCCAUGCUCUUGCGGCACCACGAGACCACACAGGAGCUGGAGUACAGGCAGCAGCGGGGCGUCCACCAGCUGCGGGAGGAACAGGUGCGCAAGCAACACCAGACGGAGCUGGCCAACCAGCACGAGUACUGCUCGCGGAGGGAGCGGGAGCUGCACAAGCGGCACGCACAGGCCGUCAAGCAGCAGCCCAAGAGCCUCAAGCACAAGGAGCUGCAGAUCCGCAAGCAGUUCCGCGAGACGUGCAAGAUCCAGACGCGCCAGUACAAGGCGUGGAAGAGCCAGGUGCUGGCCUCGACGCCGAGGGACGACCAGAAGGCGGUCAUCAAGAAGCUCAAGGAGGAGCAGAUCCGCAAGCUGGCCAUCCUGGGCGAACAGUACGAGCAGAGCAUUGCCGAGAUGCUCCAAAAGCAGUCGAUCCGGUUGGACGAAUCUCAGGACACAGAAGUGCGCCAGCUGAAGGAGCAGUUGCAGCAGGAGUUGGAGCUUCUCAUGGCCUUCCAGUCCAAGAUCCGCAUGCAGGCUGAGGCCCAACGCAACCGGGAGCGCCACGAGCUGCAGGAGCGUGUGUCCGUGCGCAGGGCCUUGCUGGAGCAGAAGAUGGAGCUAGAGAAGCAGCAGUUCCAAGAAGAGAAAGCUGAGCGGCAACGACUGCUGUGCGAGCGGCAGUCGCGUGAGAUAGAGGCCUUCGACGAGGAGAGUGCCCACAUGGGCUUCAAUCCGGUUGAGAUAGCGGAGGCCUCGCGGGAGUCCCUAGGUUCGUCGGACGCAGACAGCCUGGCUGGCAGCACCCUCAGCCUAGCCCACAGCAACAGUGCCAGCUCCUUCACCCACACGGCCCUCUGAGGCAACACCUCCCCCCUUCCCCGUUUCCUCCUCUCCUUGUCACGCACUGCGAUGGUCAGUCAUGGUAGUCUGCCACACACAGGCCAGUGUGAAUGUGUAUUGUAUCUGGUCGAUUGUCCAGCCUUGCUGAUGUGUAUGGUACGGGUGUGGUGUGGUGUUGCGUGCACUAGUCCAGCUGUCAUCCUUUGGAUGUACUAACUCCAUGCAGCUGUCACAGGCAUGAGUAUGGUCCAACACCAGGAUUUGCGAUUCUCGAAUGCUAUUUCUGUUAGUGUUCCAUCAUCAGAAAGAGUGGCGCUGCCGCUGCAGUGUCAACAGGAUCGUCAAGUCACGACCGGUGGAGAGAAUGGUGGUAUAGAAUAGAACUGGAGGAAUUGUUGCCCCGUUUGCUCAAUCAUUCAUUUACCUAAAGGAGUUGUAAUCGAGGUACUGCAGUCGGCUAUUUGAGAGACUUUAGGUUUAGGGAUACAGCAUGUGACAAAAAUGCCUGAAGUCAUUCAAACCACAUUGCACUGGCUGUAUGAAAUAUAAAAAAAGAAAAAAAUUCUCUUAGUGCCAAAAUGCUGCACUUGACACCUGGGAAGAGUGGCGAAUGAAGCGAGGUUGUAGCAUUAGCCGCGUGGCAUUGCCGCUCAUGGGGAGACUUGCACUCUCGGGCAUGUUUGUUCGUGCUGUGUAGCGCAGGGCACAGCCUCGUUUGUGUGUGUGUAGGCGACUGAGCACAGCCUCGCUCAAUGUGUUUUGUGGUGUUCACUUGGGAGAAACUCUCCAGAAUUUGUAACACUGCUCGAAUGGGCAUGGCACAUAGUAGCACAUCCUUCAUUCUCCGUCACAUUUUUUUAGAUGCAAUUAGGUGGUAGUCCUGCGUGAUGUUGAUAGUGCGAAAGAAUUCCUCGAUGUUCAAACAUAAGGCUUGUCAUUCCAAAUUUGAAGACUCUCAAUUCGUAGGUGCGAGUAGGACGCGUGUUCCAGGCUGUAUUGUGCAGAUUUAAGGACGUUACUCGGAACAAUACCUUGUUCACAGUGUGUGAUAAUUACUACUAUAAGAGUGGAUGCCAUAAUUAGCUGAGGCAGUUCUUUUGUUGAGACUUACUUUUUUUGCUGCGCAAGAGGCUACGCCGUUGCAUCAGACGACUUACGUUUGCUGUUCAUGGGUGGCUGUUGUGCUUUAUAGUAAUGUAAUGUAUGAAAUUGUGAUUAUUAUUUACACUUCAAAGUAUAUUCAAUAUUUUUGCUGCCUGUUCACUUAUUUUGAGCUGCUGCUGAGAUGGAGUGGAUGCCAGGUUCUGCGUUUCUGCCUUCGUUAUAGGAGUGCAGCACUAAUUGCCCUAAAGCAUUACCGACGAAGCGUUCCCUUCGUUUUCUCCGAUGGUUCGUCAAGGCUCGAUUGCGUUUCGUUUGGUUGAUGUAAUGCUAGCAGUGCUUAGGUUUUUCACAUUUAGCAAACACUGGCAAAUUUACUUUCUGCGUUGUGGUGUAUGAUGUGUUGGGAGGAAGACUGCAGAUUCAUUGCCAUGUGACGUGUCCUUGGGGUGCUGUGCCGAAACGGUCUUUGCAUGGAUUGUUUGGUUGGUACUGUCGCUGGCAAUGAUGCCCAAUUUGAAAUGAAUCUUCCGCUUUCAUUCAGGCCCCCCGAUAGCUAGCUUACCGUAAUUGAAUGAAUUAAUGCAGUAUUCAUUAUCUAAAGCACACUCUCUGACCUCAGUGGGAAGAGGUGAAUGCGAGGCUAAGGGAAGAGGAGGGACACUGUGGAAACCAGUGGCCAUAAAUGAAAAGAACCUGCAUGUACAUGUUACAAACUUGCAGUUGCAGACUUGCAGAUGCAUAUGCAGACUUAUAUAUUCAAUUCAGGGGUCCACAAAACUGAAAGUGGGGCGAAGUAUGCCUGCAGUGUAUCGAGAGCAAUAGUCCAUAUAUGUUUUAAAGCUCGUUUGCACCUCCACACAGCAUUACGCGAGUUACGUGCAUUGUAGCACACACACACACACACACACACACCCUGCGCGGCAAUUUGUGCUCGUUCAUUAGACCUGACGAGGCAGAAAUUGGAAGUGGAAAUGUUGCCAGCUGUUGGAAUGUUGGCCCUGGCUGUUAGGUGGCAGACUGCCCGGACUGUCCCUUAGGUAUGACUGUGUUGAGUGGUUGCCCCGUCCUUUUCAACAAAACCCUUCUCGUUGUUGGAUCUGGCACCCCGAGGCUGCCGUGGCAUGGUUGGUGGAGUGUUGACCUGACCCUUGGUUGUUUUUUUCCUUCCCCGAUACUUUUUUUUUUCGGUCAGUGCAGCGCGUUCUGCGAGCAGGGCCCGCAGCCGCGCAUCCAACUCAGGAGUGCCAUUGAAGGGUGGUCCGUGUGCAUUUUUUUUGUCUUUUGAAAGCGAGUGUGGCGGGGAGAGAAAAGUGCGAAUACUAUAGGUCGAUUUUCUUCUUUAUGGUGCGUUCCUCUCGUUUUUUUUUUCUUCUGCCCUUUCCUUUUUUUUUUUUUUUGACUUGAAACCCAUUUCUUUGUCGUUUUCUUUUUCUAGGGGCAUGCCAUUUUACGGUGCUAAAACACUUCCCCCCUUUUUUUUUUAAAUGCUGUACCCAGUGCGUUCUGCAUCCUUUACAUAAAUUUCCUGUUAGCGCAACAUUUUUACCUCUCCUCUUUGUUGUAAUGUGCUGCUGUUAGCUGUCUUUAGACAAAUCAAGGCGGGUACCCUUACCCUUUUUGCCCCCUCUUUCCCAUGCUCCCCCCCCCCCUCGUUUUUUUGAACGAGAAAUCACUGUGCUCUGCUUCUUACGCCCACUCGGAGAAGUCUUUAAUCAGUGCAGGUGUUUCAUUUUUUUUUUCAGUUUUUUUUUAACCCACCCUCCUUAAUUUUCUUAGUGCACAGCUGGCGGUAAUGUCCAAUACCAUUAGAGUUCAAUAGAAAAUCGCGAGUACUGCGAAAAAUCCGGUGCGAUGGGCACUGCUGAAGUUGUGACCUUUUCUGGUGCACCGUUUUCGAGGCCGUCUAGACUCGAUUGGCUUGUUGUGCUCAGUUUUGAAGAUCAAAUCGCAGAAGUCUUGCGGAGGGGGAGUUGAAGGGAAAAAAACAGAGAAAGGCAAAUUGUGCGGUGGCAACAUAGUUUUCUAAUCGUGGCCACUUUCGCGAACUUUGCGAACCCUAGUUUUUAGCAAGUAAACGAAUGCACAAAGUGUACAAACAUCUGUACUAAAUGUUACCACUGUUGAAUACGACAACUCGGGUGCUUGUCGGGAAUGGUUUAGGAAAUGCAGCGAAAUCUCCCAUUGUCAGAUGGGAGUUUUUUAUCUCUACGAAGCUCCGUUCCUUGGUCAUUUUGCAUUCCCCGAGACUAAGAUGUCCUCUUUUUAAAGUAGCCUGCACAUGCUAACCCUAAAUUUGAGCGACAGCUUGACCAGCUGUACUGCUCAAGCUACAAGGCUCGUUUAACCAGUAUUGAGGUGGAAGCCACACCGAAUUUACUUCUGAGAGUUUUUGAUGCGUCGUCAUUGCCUGUGUAUCCCAUUUUUGCUCGACACCGUGACCGUGCUGCGUUGAUUCCUGUUGGAAUACAUUCCUGCGGUUACCGUUAGAAGCUAACACGGUGUUGUGUUCUACUAUCAAUAACAGAAUGGUUACUGCGUGACACAAAAUGGGCAAUGCAGCACCGCGCAACACCAAGCCCCUCAGAAAAUCGUGUGGCUGCCACUCAAAUUUAAUGCAUCUGGACUUCUUAGCGACGCAGCUUCUCUUCACGUUUCUGCUCACAUUUGGGCAGCGCUCACUGGACUGGACUGAGUUCAAGUGCCAUACGUUUUAUAGCUAUUGCGUUGAGAUCAGCCUUGGAUAAAAAAAAAACAUGAAAGGAGAAAUCCGUGUGAUGUUCCUUCCUGUAGAAAAAGGAAAAAGCAACAAGCGACGAUUUUGUAAUGCCCACAUUAGAAGCCGCUGUCAGGAGGGCGCAAUUCAGUGUUUGGUUAGCCAAUAAAUGUUUAGACCACGGUACAAAGAAAGAAAAAAAAAAUUGUUACAGCCCAGGCACACAGAAAUGCGUGGAAAACUAGAAGUUGUCUCGAGUUGUACGUAAUGUGACCACCGAUUUCACUCCAAAUCUUCGGUCGCCCGGACAAAGUGAAGCUUCAGUUUUCUUUUUUUUUCACUGCUCCCACAGUCGCAUCACUUGUGCGCUCGCGAUACUACAAGAUUGCAGUACUAGAGGUCGCUCUUUUUUUCUAAAGAAAAACAAACAAACGAAGAUUUGAGACAAGUGGUCCAUUUGUUGCCGCAUACCACACACUCGUCUGCAACCAUUGUAGUAGCAAGCUCUGCUUGUUGGUAUAGUGGUCAUGUCUCCAAGGGCUGGUGGAAAAAAAAAAUGUGGAAAGUUAGUGCACUGUUCGUGUACAGCUCAAGACGUUCUUGUGCACUUUGUUGCUGUCAUUUUAUACGAGCCAAGUAGAUGGAUGUCCUUCAAGACGAACAGUCUUCCGUUACAGUGACGAUGAGCACUUGGAGUAUUUUAUAAGCUGCCCAUUAUUCCCUCUUCUUUUUUUGUGUGUGUCUUGUCUUUCUCUCUGUCCCUUCAGUUUCUUUUUUCUUCGGCACAUUAGAAGCACCAAACAAAGAAAAACUAUCGGGGCAUGCUACCUACAUUUUUAUGUUGACCCCAUAUGUUUUUUUUUUUUCCUCCAUUAUUGCGUGCUACUACAACUUGGCCCCUGCCCAACAGUUCUCCUCUUGAUGUAAAUAGUGCUGUAUAAAAAAAAAUACAUCAACUGGGUUGUAUAGACAAGGUCACAUGCACCUUUGCCAGUGAACGAGCGAAUAAAUGAUUUCGGAAGAAA